ACGGGCGCACGGGUGAGUAACACGUAUCCAACCUGCCGUCUACUCUUGGACAGCCUUCUGAAAGGAAGAUUAAUACAAGAUGGCAUCAUGAGUUCACAUGUUCACAUGGUUAAAGGUAUUCCGGUAGACGAUGGGGAUGCGUUCCAUUAGAUAGUAGGCGGGGUAACGGCCCACCUAGUCUUCGAUGGAUAGGGGUUCUGAGAGGAAGGUCCCCCACAUUGGAACUGAGACACGGUCCAAACUCCUACGGGAGGCAGCAGUGAGGAAUAUUGGUCAAUGGGCGCAGGCCUGAACCAGCCAAGUAGCGUGAAGGAUGACUGCCCUAUGGGUUGUAAACUUCUUUUAUAAAGGAAUAAAGUCGGGUAUGUAUACCCGUUUGCAUGUACUUUAUGAAUAAGGAUCGGCUAACUCCGUGCCAGCAGCCGCGGUAAUACGGAGGAUCCGAGCGUUAUCCGGAUUUAUUGGGUUUAAAGGGAGCGUAGAUGGAUGUUUAAGUCAGUUGUGAAAGUUUGCGGCUCAACCGUAAAAUUGCAGUUGAUACUGGAUAUCUUGAGUGCAGUUGAGGCAGGCGGAAUUCGUGGUGUAGCGGUGAAAUGCUUAGAUAUCACGAAGAA
rnacentral:rRNA from 1 species